AUUGAACGCUGGCGGCAGGCCUAACACAUGCAAGUCGAGCGGAACGGCGGACGGGUGAGUGAGGCCUAGUUAUCUGCCUGUUAGUGGGGGAUAACGACCGGAAGGGGACGCUAAUAAAGCAUGCUUGCAGAUGCGUCUAGGUCGGAUUAGCUAGUUGGUGGGGGAAGGGACUACCAAGGCGACGAUCCCUAGCUGGUCUGAGAGGAUGAUCAGUCACACUGGAACUGAGACACGGUCCAGACUCCUACGGGAGGCAGCAGUGGGGAAUAUUGGACAAUGGGCGAAAGCCUGAUCCAGCCAUGCCGCGUGUGUGAAGAAGGUCUUCGGAUGGUAAAGCACUUUAAGUUGGGAGGCGUUACCCACAGAAGAAGCACCGGCUAACUCCGUGCCAGCCGCCGCGGUAAUAC
rnacentral:rRNA from 1 species